GAGUUUAUGGUCCAAUGGUAAGACAGUCGACUUUUAAUCGCCCUGAUAUUGGUUCAAUUCCAAUUAAACUCA
rnacentral:tRNA from 1 species